GCAUAUUUGACAAUUGUCCCAUAAAAUUAUUACCAUAGAGCCCAGGUGUAUAGUAAGCUGUACCAUCUAGGUUUGUGUAAGUAGUGUAUGAUGUUCGCACAACAAUGAAAUUGCCUAAUGAUGCAUUUGUCAGAACAUGUUCCCGUCGUUAAGUGACGCGUGACUGUAGU